rnacentral:lncRNA from 1 species
AAUUGUUCUGCUUGCUUCAGAGCAGAGGCUCCGCAGCCCUUUCCAGACCUCUCCCAAGCGUGGAAAUGGACGAAGGGCUGGAUGGGGCUCAGAGGGGAGGUCAGGCGGGACUCCCUCAGACAGCAGCUGGGGUUCCUCUGUUCCAGGCCCAGCUCUCACUGAAACAGGAGAGGGUGUGAAGGAAUGGAUUUGGAACUGUCAAGAACUCCUUCCUUAGUGGGCAGUGGAGGAGUGUCCACUGGCCUGCAGCCAGGCACCUCUCUCCCCCAGCCUGG